CACAGUAUCGUGUCCCAUUUUACAUACUUGCAUCAGCUUUGUGAUUUUUAAGCUUUGAAGAUUUGGGUUUUUAAUGGAAUAAAAUUAAUUUCGCUGGAGUGGUGGGAGGAAGGGGGGUGGGGGGUAUUAUAAUUUGCAUGCGAUCACGUCAGGACACUGGCCAUCUCCAUAUAUCCCAAGAUCUUAUUUAACCUUUAUGUGAGUUGAGUGAGGAUAGCAAAAAGUUUGCAAAAAGGAAUUACAAACCCCAUCGUCAUUCGUGUUGAAAUUCUCAAAUCUUCCAAAUUACUUGUUAUGCACAUCAGCUUCCUGCCUUAGAUAAUUAAUUGGUUCGACCCAUGAAAAACGGCGGAAAUAUGUACGUCGUUAAGGAAUGAAGAUGAAUUUGGCAAUUCCUUAAACAUGUUGUUACAUCUUGUGUCAGGGUUGGAGAUGCCUUCAGAAACCUUCAAACAAAUUGAUGCAUCCGUUACACAAAAUGCUUAUCUCGUCUUAAAACAUUUCAACAUUUGGACGGCUUGGGAACCAAAUUUGAAGGCCAUUUUUAUUUCACUUUUUACAAUUAAUUUGCAUUAAACGUUUUCUAAAUAUCGAUAUGUUACACCCUUCAGAAUUCCGAACAAAUGCCUUGAUUACCAGAAACAUUGAAUGAAAACAAAUCUCCAUCCCGGAAUUAA